rnacentral:rRNA from 1 species
UGAAAAACCGUNGAAGAUUCCUAAAGGAAUACCUGUGGCGAAAGGCGGCCCCCCUGGCCCAGAUAUCUGACAAUUCAGAUGCGAAANCNNCGGGGAGCAAACAGGAUUUAGAUACCCUGGUAGUCCACGCCGUAAACGAUGUCUACUUGGAGGUUGUGGCCUUGAGCCGUGGCUUUCGGAGNUAACGCGUUAAGUAGACCGCCUGGGGAGUACGGUCGCAAGAUUAAAACUCAAAUGAAUUGACGGGGGCCCGCACAAGCGGUGGAGCAUGUGGUUUAAUUCGAUGCAACGCGAAGAACCUUACCUACUCUUGACAUCUACAGAAGCCAGCGGAGACGCAGGUGUGCCUUCGGGAACUGUAAGACGGGUGCUGCAUGGCUGUCGUCAGCUCGUGUUGUGAAAUGUUGGGUUAAGUCCCGCAACGAGCGCAACCCUUAUCCUUGUUUGCCAGCACUUCGGGUGGGAACUCCAGGGAGACUGCCGGUGAUAAACCGGAGGAAGGUGGGGACGACGUCAAGUCAUCAUGGCCCUUACGAGUAGGGCUACACACGUGCUACAAUGGCGCAUACAGAGGGCGGCCAACUUGCGAAAGUGAGCGAAUCCCAAAAAGUGCGUCGUAGUCCGGAUUGGAGUCUGCAACUCGACUCCAUGAAGUCGGAAUCGCUAGUAAUCGUGGAUCAGAAUGCCACGGUGAAUACGUUCCCGGGCCUUGUACACACCGCCCGUCACACCAUGGGAGUGGGCUGCAAAAGAAGUGGGUAGUUUAACCUUCGGGAGGACGCUCACCACUUUGUGGUUCAUGACUGGGGUGAAGUCGUAACAAGGUAACCG